AUUGAACGCUGGCGGAAUGCUUUACACAUGCAAGUCGAACGGCAGCACGGGGGCAGCCCUGGUGGCGAGUGGCGAACGGGUGAGUAAUACAUCGGAACGUGCCCGGUCGUGGGGGAUAACGUAGCGAAAGUUACGCUAAUACCGCAUACGAUCUGAGGAUGAAAGCGGGGGACCUUCGGGCCUCGCGCGAUCGGAGCGGCCGAUGUCAGAUUAGGUAGUUGGUGGGGUAAAGGCCUACCAAGCCGACGAUCUGUAGCUGGUCUGAGAGGACGACCAGCCACCCUGGGACUGAGCCACGGCCCAGACUCCUACGGGAGGCAGCAGUGGGGAUUUUUGGACAAUGGGCGCAAGCCUGAUCCAGCCAUUCCGCGUGCAGGACGAAGGCCUUCGGGUUGUAAACUGCUUUUGUACGGAACGAAAAGGCUCUGGCUAAUACCUGGGGCUCAUGACGGUACCGUAAGAAUAAGCACCGGCUAACUACGUG
rnacentral:rRNA from 1 species